UAAAUGCAUCUAGAAACAUAAUGGUAAUAGGAUAUUCAGGACAGAUUUUAAUGUUCAUAGGGAUGUUACUUUUGAUUAAAUAUCACUCUAUUCUGGGACAUUCACGACGUCCCCAUAGCACAUCUUACAUCAGUGUAUGAAUAGAAACUGUGUGUUAAGUAUCUGACAACCUAGAGACUUGGUCUAGCAUUGGUCCCCAUAAGGAACCACGACAUGGUGUGUGAUAUGUCCCCACUAAGCUUGUUUAUUCAAUAUGUGUGAAAACAGGCAGAGGUUGAUGGAGGAGGAGGGAAUAUUGAAUUUGAUGAUUUUGUCGUUGAAGUUUCGUGCCUGUUGGCUUGAAUUUAACUUUAGAAAUUUGUCAUUAAGAACAUGCAUUAGUGUAACUAAAUAUUAUGCAGUGAUAACAUCGGACUUAAACUUGUUUUUCAUAUUUUGAAAUGUUUGCAGAUGACCAUGAAUGCAGCUGAUGCUGUCAUUCCUGUGGAAAGCUCCCAGCAUGCUGUCUUGUUAGAGACGCAGAUGACUGAAACUUUGAGUCCAUGAGACACUAAUCAACAGAUUAAAGGCACAGAUGUUGAAGAUUCAAAUGAAGUAUCCGACUCUAUACAAGUUUGUAUUGUUGCUUUCAGUUUUGUCUUGAGAGAACGCAAAUGAGCAGGACUCAAUAAAAAGUUUAAAUGUAUAA